AAUCACAAUUUUUAGCAGCAAAACACUGAUAUGCGCUUACAUCAGGAACUCCUGAAAAAGCGUCUGUAUCAGUUGUGACUCUAAGUCACAACCUUCAUGAGUCAUGACUCAUUCAUAAAAAGCCAAAGCAAAUGAGUCAUUCAUUUCAACUGUUAUCAAACAGUCCCUAGUUGUGUCGUACUCUUCUUGAGACGUUCAUUCAUUCAUUAUCAAUGCCCAUGCGAUUUAAGCUUCAUGGAUUAGUUUCAGAUUCAUUGGUUCUCUGCAUGAUUCUGGCACUAUUCCUGGAUCUCUUGGUGAGUCCUGUAAGUCUUCAUGUUCAUAUCAGAAGGUAAUUUUCCUUCCAAUGUCUUCCACAUGAAGUUGAAGAUUUUCAGUGGCAGCUUUUAUCUUAAUGUUGAUCUCUACCACCACCACUGACCGGCUGACCCACCCAAAAAAAUGAAGAAAAAAUUGCUGGACAGAGAUGGUGAACUUCCACUAGUUGAGCUUCACAUCAUGCUUCGUGUGUGCCUUCAACUAAUGAGUGCCUCUGUAAGCACCAUGGAGCUGGUAUUGGGUAUUGUAUACAUGUAGCCUACCCUUUCCUGUAUCUCUGGACUUUGUACUUGAGGCAGCCAUUUAGGACAAUUGGCAGACCAUUUCUGUGAAUUUCAGCCAUCCUGUUCCAUUCCACUGAAAUAGGACCAAUGUCAAUGUAUUCAUGUAUUCAUUUGCACUGUAAGAUUUGAAACUGUGUCCUUCCAAGUUCCAGACAUAUGCAGCAUAUACUUGUUUUAUCUUGGGUCACUUCCUCUCAGAAGGAUAAGAUGGUCUAUAUGUGUGUGUGUAAUUAUGUAUGUAUUUAUGUAUGUAUUAGGAAAAAAAAAAAGAUAAGGAUCUCAGGCUAACAAGCAUGAGGAUGUAGGCUUGCUUCUAA